rnacentral:lncRNA from 1 species
UAAAAUUCUAGCUAUGUUAUAUGAAGACAAGAUUUCAAGCUAUUGAUUGCUAACAUUUCUAGCUCAAAGAGACAGCCAACUGAGUUGGACACAUUAUAUGUUCCAUAUAUUAUUUUCUUCGACACUACAAAAUACACAAUAUCAUCCUUCAGAAUAAAAAAUGAAUAACAGAAUAGGGUCAGAAAAUCAAGUCUAGUUGGGAAGACGUGCAAAGUUCAUACCGCUAAAAAUUAAGUACAAAUCUGACACAAUAGCAUUUUGGGAACGUGAAUACCCUACAAAUCGUUAUUCUUUACUCUCCGAAUUGUAAAUCCAUGAGUCGUAGAGUUGACACUUAUGAUGAUAGCAACCGCUUACAUCUCACUCUGUUUCAUUCAAAAUUGGAACAAUAAGCGGCUUCAUCUGUGCUAAAUAAACUAUCGCCCACCUGUUCAAGGAAAAGGAGAAACAACGUGAACUUAAUUAGAAAAGAAUCAAGUAAAAUACAAGCAAAACAAACCAAACACAUUUUUUUUUUUUUUUUUUUUGGGGUACCAGAACUGAACAAAUUUUACAACUAAACCAACUAUUGUCAAGGAUACACUAAUAAAACCGAA